CUACGGGGGGCUCCAGUGGGGAAUAUUGCACAAUGGGCGCAAGCCUGAUGCAGCCAUGCCGCGUGUAUGAAGAAGGCCUUCGGGUUGUAAAGUACUUUCAGCGGGGAGGAAGGGAGUAAAGUUAAUACCUUUGCUCAUUGACGUUACCCGCAGAAGAAGCACCGGCUAACUCCGUGCCAGCAGCCGCGGUAAUACGGAGGGUGCAAGCGUUAAUCGGAAUUACUGGGCGUAAAGCGCACGCAGGCGGUUUGUUAAGUCAGAUGUGAAAUCCCCGGGCUCAACCUGGGAACCGCAUCUGAUACUGGCAAGCUUGAGUCUCGUAGAGGGGGGUAGAAUUCCAGGUGUAGCGGUGAAAUGCGUAGAGAUCUGGAGGAAUACCGGUGGCGAAGGCGCCCCCCUGGACGAAGACUGACGCUCAGGUGCGAAAGCGUGGGGAGCAAACAGGAUUAGAUACCCGAGUAGUC
rnacentral:rRNA from 1 species